rnacentral:lncRNA from 1 species
CAGAGGAGGAAAGUGCUUUUAUGAAUGUUGAUCAUGACAUAACUUUAAGUAAAAUAGUCUGACAUGCUUCUUCUAAAUAAAUAAAAAAAAGUCAACAAACUAAGCUAACAAGAGAGCAAAUGUAAAUGUAAAGCCUGUGACAAACUGAAGGCAAAGUUCUCCCUCUCACACCAAACAAUCGGAAAGACAAAGACGGCACGAGACCCCGACAAACCCCUUUCACAUGUAAUGAUGAUUCCCCUUCAUUAAAACUGCUAGUAACCCUGUUAGGCUGGAAUAGACUCACUACGGGUAAUCGUGAAAACACUUUUAAUCAACGCACAGAAACAGUAGAGACCUUGCUAGAAUGCAUUCACUCCAAAUAAAGCAGGCUCUUUAUAAACAGGCGCAGCAAAACAGCUAAGACCCUGAUAAGACUCCUCACACUCUCCAUGGCGAAACCUGCCUGUGAAUGUCUCCUGACAGCUCCUAAGCCCUUGUUAGAGAGAAUCACUUCCUAAUGAUUCAACCCAGCUUGGAAACAUCAACACACUCAAAGUAACACUUGGGCAUGCAGUUUUACAUGAAGUAACAUAGCCUACACACACAUGCAGUGAACUGGAUUCACAGCUGCUAUAUGACAUUCAUUUUGAGGAUUGAAACAGGGGCUGAAAUUUGAACUCGCUUAUAAAAUAUGGAGGUCUAUUGUUAAGAGGGUUGAAUUUAGGUAAUAAUCUAAACUCAAGAAAAUGUCCAUAGAUUAAAAAAUAGAUACUUCCCCUUAAAAAUGUCAAAUAAUUUUCUCCAAGCUUCAAAACAAUCAUAAAACUAAUUGGACUGCAAUUCUCUUACAGUUCACACCCAUGAAAGCAAAAAAAAAAUUGCCACCUCUAUGCACACUGCGGUUGACACAAAUGUAUGCAUGUGCUUGCUCAUCGGCACACACACACACACACACACACACACACAUGCACACAAAGCAUGCAUGCACACACACACACAGAAACAGGGCAGUUGACACAUGGUAUAUCAGCAGGCGCAGUUCUUUUGUCCUCUCCUAGUUUUAGAAACAGCACUACUCUUGGAACACGUCGGGCUUUUGUUCAUGAGAUGCAUGAUGCAAACGUGAAAAAGAGUCAGGGGAAAAAAAAAAGGUGUUUUGUUCUAAAUGCCUCGAUUACUUAUUUUAUGUUUCAAAAAGAAUUCCUUUAUUUUUUGCUUAAAUAUAAAAUCACAAACAUGCCAUUCAUUUCAUUGUUUUUCUCUGUGAGCACAGAAUUUCCGACUCUGUUUGACCAGUAUUACUUCCUUCGAGUUUUCCAUUGACCAGUAAACAAUAAGGACUAAAAAAAAAAAGAAAUGUGUGACUAAUAUUUUUCAGGGUCCUGUUCUGUGACUCAGAAGUGUUUAUUCCUUCAUGCGGCAGCAGCUGUAUUUUGGUGAUGAUCUGGAGCGUGGUGUUUGAACUUUGCCUCGGCUGUCAAUCAUGCCAGCAGUGGGUGGGGUUUGACUCAUGGUUGAUGUGGUUUUGACAGGUAUGAUUCAGAAGUGAUGAGCAGGCAUGCAUGUUCAUAAACAAACACAAAAAAUGUAAAUGUAGACCUAAAUAGAUAAAGUUGAUAAUAUCCGUAUGUCAACAAAGGAAAUUCAGAUCUGAGCUUUGAAUAAAUGCGGCUUGCAUGACAUAAAAUAUCAGUUUUCCGAAUCAAAAAUCCUGUCCUGGCUUUCCCUUGCUGCAUCUGUCUUCCUGUCUGCUCAGGUAUGCUUCCCACUCUCUCCUGUGUAAAUCCAUCUCAUCCAAAACAGGCUUAUCCCACAGAUGCUGUCACUCCUUCAUCUCGGGUGUGAGAAAUAUUGGGCCAAAGGUGCUACUCUGUAAUCAGGCUGGACUGCUGUGCCUCCUCCUGUACAGUCAGACGUGUUGGUAACCGCCACAACUUCACAAGGCUGCCGUGUGACCCGGUAACGGCGGCAGGGCCCUCUGACGGCUCCGAAAAAAAACAAACCAGCAAACAGAAACACACACUCGCAGAGCAACAAGGUCUGAACCCUGGGUGAUGUUCACUAUGGUAUGUGACAAAUGGAUGCUGCAUGGCGUCAAAAAUAGUGAAAAGGCAGAUGUGACAUUGGUUCUAUUUUCACUUGCAUCUAUUGGCAGUGAAGGUAGAUUAUGAAAUACAGUCUUCGUCCAAUGCUCUGCGUGUGAACAGCAGAUUCCAUGGCUGCAGCUUUUUCUGUCUGCCUUCCCCACAUGCUCUUAACAACGCUCUUAACACCUACAUUUAUAUAUUUAUAUAUAUAUGAAAAAAUGAAAACACGGUUGGACCAAAAUUACUUACAUCUUGCGUCAGUCUGUAAAAAGCUGAACAUCAUGACACUAGCUUUUAGUGAAGGCUGCUGCUUCCCUGGAGUGUCCCCCUGCCACGGUGAAGGAUGAGAGGUGCUCCACCAAAUCUUGAGACCCCCUCUCUUGAACCGGCGCCUUUUUUCUGGAGAGGAGUCAUCAGUCUGACCCUGAAAAAAAAAAAAAAAACAACACAAAAAUAUGACAAAGUUAGUGGUGAAAUAGCUAAAAAGUCCUUAAAAUUAAGAAUAAAAACCUAGAAUUAAACCUUUAACAUCCAUUUUGAGAGGAGUUGAAUACAGUGACAACCGUGACAACCAAGAAAAAUAUUACAUUUAAUUUGAACUGUAAAAAAUAUACAAAUAUUCAACUCCAAACUAUGGUAGUUCACUUCUACAAAAAAGAAAAGAGACUCCAUCGCUCCUGCUUUCAAUCCAAAGUCUCAAAGUGCCCCCUAGUGGACCUCCUCCAUCACUGCUUUAAACGAGGUCUGCAAACAUUUGACCCUGUAAUAAGAUCUCUGUAGCUCAGUGUGUUAAUUAAGAGGGCAAUUUCUACAUGGGAUCACAGACUAACACUUGACAGCAAACACAGUCAGAGUGCAUUAGCGGUUUUCUAACAAACUGCAAAGCGUCUGUGAGAGUAAACUGACUUUAUAAUACUAGGAUACUGCAAAAUAGUCAGUAGGAAGCAAAUGAAUAUCCUUGUCAUGUACAGAGAAUUUGGAGUUAUACAAAAAUACAAUAUGCAAAAGAAUGAAUCUAAUAUUUUGAUCAUAAAUUGCUGAUCUUUGCAGACAUAAUCCAUUUCUGUAUAAGUGCAUGCUAACUAAGGGUUAGUAGUUAAUGUGUCCAUGUGGUUUCCAUUUAUUUUUGUUUUCUUGCGCCACCUUCUUGCAGUAAAAACUGAAUUAAAUACUUCUAUCAGCAUUGAAAAGACAGUGCAUAAUAACACAUUUACACACAGGCCUUUUCUCCAAGCAUAAUUGUUUGUUCUGCUGUAAUUCAGGCACAUGGGGCACAAGGAAAAAGAUGGACAGUUUGUGUAGCACAGCCUCCAAAGGCAAAGCUGAUUGAUCAUACGCUCUGUCUCUCCAUCCCUCCAUUACUCCUCGCCACAACACAACCUGGCACCUUGUCCCACAGGCUGGCCCUGAAGGAAAACAAUUACCAGGGAGGUGGAACAACAAUACCCAGAAAAACAUCUGCUUGUGCCGGCUGGGGCCGUUGACAUGCCUGACUGUGUGUCCCUGCUGGCUUACACAGAGGACACAUGCCUGUCUGGAUAAGCUGAGGGGCCUGAGCAUACAGGGCCCAGUCUCCUGCUCCUCCACCUGCCUCUCUGACUGCCUGUCUGCCUGCUCUGGCAGAGGCAGCUCAGCUCUAACAGACGAUGCCCGCCUGUUAGAGCAGUUGUUUGAUUGGGCGAAUUUCCCUCUGAUUAACCAGCAUGGCUGCUAACUUAUGGCAGAUAGGAGGCGGGGCAAAGCCAAUGCAAUGGGUUUACACAGAUAUGAUGUUUAUAUGCUAUAGCUCAGCUCGGCAAAUCAGAAGAGCCUUUUUCUUAGAAGGUUAUACUACAAUAUUAGCACACAUCAUUGAUAAAACACUGCGAAAACAUAUUUGAAUAACUGCAAACUUGAGGAUAAUUAUGCCAUGAACAUUUUGUGAGGCACACUUGUUAUUAAAAAAAAAUCUGAUUACUGUGUAGGUAUUUAAAUUCUUUAGAAAUCCAAAUAGAAGGUUCAACUGCAGCUCAUUUCAGUCUGUGUUUACUGAGUUUAUGUUGCCACCUUGUGGCCGUUAUUGAGACUUGCCAUGCAUAUUCAGGGUGUCCCCUCUGACUCAUUCCAAACCUUUCGGGUUAGGAUCCCCUAAAGGGUCUCAAGCUAAAUCAGAGGGAUCAAUAGGACUAUGUUAAAUAAUAAUAUGAUACAAAUUGCUAUGUUAAGCAUUAUGUAAUUGGGACCUGCUUUUUGAUCAAUUGUAACUCUACACUUACAAACACUUCUUAAUUUCAUUCCUGGGAUUAUUUCAAAAUAAUUCCCAUAGGAUCAGGCUCAUUUUGAUUCUGCAGAAAAUAACUAGUUCAAAGUUCAGUUUAGUGGCCUUUCUGCUAAUCCAACCGCAAGUAUUUCAUAGGAUGUACAGUUUCCUCUUCCUUGCACUAAAUAAGACAGAAUAUAAAUACCUCAUUCACUCAGCAGCUUGGCUGUCUAUUCAGCUCUGACUGGCCUGGGUUAACCUCACCUCUAACAGGAUAGGUCGGCUCCUCCCACAGCAUUAGAAUGUUGGCUGCUUUCAAAUGCUAUAGGAAAUAUUAAAGGUAUGCAGCCAACAUAGUUGGUUGUUUUUAGCCUCUGUGAGGAACUUUGAACUGCAUUUUUUGUCUGAAAAUCGCCAUAAAAAUAAAGUUGAAUUUGAAUUUGAAAUGUUUGCUCAAAUGAUCUACAUAUUGAUAAUGUUCAAUGUUUAUCUAUAGCCAAUUAUGUUACAUAAUAACAUUAACUCUUGUUUGUAUCACUUAGAUGCAUGUGCCAUAUAUUCUUCUAACAAUCGAUCAAUGAAUUAGUAAGUCUUUCUUUAUACAUCACUUUUCAUACACAACCAAUGUAGCACAAAGUGCUUUACACAGAAAAAGGAAUAAAAGAAACAAAGAAUAGCCAAAUCUACCCCAACCCAACCCCUCAUUCCCACCCCAUGGUAUAAAUGCAACAGAAACAGUAUUAAAAUGCAUAAACUUAAAAAGGGCUUGAUUUUGUGGAAACAGGAAUGUGCGCACUGAGGAAAUGUCAUUUUAAAACUCAAGAUUAGGAAACACUGGAGGUUUAUGUUAAAAUCUAAAAAAAAGUAAUAUAGAAUGAAACUUAAAUAAUAAUAAAUAAAAUGAAAUAAAAACAACAGUAAAAGAUACUUAAAUAAGAGCACCAAAAUAGCUCAAUAAAAGACAAUCAUGUCAUUAAAACUAGAAGAGAUAAACGCUAAAAUGCUUAAAGAUAAUGAUAUAAAAUUUAGUUAAAAGCAAGACUAAAAAAGUAUGUUUUCAGUUUGCUUUUAUUAUUAUUAAGAUUAACAAUAAAGCCAGGAAGCAGAAAUAUAUUUUCAGGUUACUUUUUUUGUUGUUUCUUUGACGAUUGUUAAGUUCAUCCAAAUUUUAAAACUUUGUAAUGAGGAAUUUCACCGUAGUGUUAAGUUAUUUAAACAAUCUGUUUGUAGCCCUUUAAUGCCUGACACCACAAAUUGUGUCUAGAAACUUCGAAUUUAUUUGGAGCUGAAAUAUAUUAAUUAAUCUCAUUUGAUACAUUAGAUGUUUUCAGAAACUAAUAACCUACUAGAGGACAAUUUUAUCAUUUAUCGGUUUGUAUUCAGGUGGUUUUUUAGUAAUUUGUUGAUCAUAUUGAUUUGAUAGAAGUAUCUAAAAGUGUGUAUCAAAUAUGAUACAAAAGGCAUUAAAAGGGUUAACUUGAGUUUCAGUGAAGGUUCAGUUGUACUUUUUGCCUUUUAAAAAAAACUGUUACAUACCAAUUUCAACUUCCUGUCACAGGAUAACGGGAUAUUUCGAGCAGCACCUGAAGGCACCACUUUUGACACGGGCUCGGUGUAACGAGGAGGAGGGUUUGUUGGGUGACAGCUCGCGGGGACACGCCCGCCGUCACAGCAGCAGCAGCAACAACGGUGGCUGGUCUGUGCUUCUCCUCUGACACCGUUCACUGCCUUCUCCUCAGCGGUGAAUGAAGUCUCUCCCUGAACCUCUAAACCCGGCAGUCUCUCUCUCUGACGGACUAACUUCUCGUGCAACCUAAUGAACCAGCAGCCUGUUCUGCCCCAGACUCGCGUGGCUUUUCGUGUCACAGCAACCACAGAGAUGUAAAGCAAGUUGCACUACCGCAUCUUCCUCUUUGAUAUGCUUCUGACAUAACGAGGAGCCAGAGAAGUGACAGAGGUAUUUCGGCUUUCUUUUGCGACUUGUUAGUGUCAGUGAGCCGCCUUUACACGGUCUGUAGAUGCCGUAUUAACACGGACACGGUGCUAAAAGCCCCGUCAGUGACCACGAACAAACAUUUCAAUGUUCACAAGUCGCUCUAAGCCCAGUUCAAGCGUA